rnacentral:rRNA from 1 species
GAGCUUGCUCCCUGAUAUUAGCGGCGGACGGGUGAGUAACACGUGGGUAACCUGCCUGUAAGAUUGGGAUAACUCCGGGAAACCGGAGCUAAUACCGGAUAAUAUUUUGAACCGCAUGGUUCAAAAUUGAAAGAUGGUUUCGGCUAUCACUUACAGAUGGACCCGCGGCGCAUUAGCUAGUUGGUGAGGUAACGGCUCACCAAGGCAACGAUGCGUAGCCGACCUGAGAGGGUGAUCGGCCACACUGGGACUGAGACACGGCCCAGACUCCUACGGGAGGCAGCAGUAGGGAAUCUUCCGCAAUGGACGAAAGUCUGACGGAGCAACGCCGCGUGAACGAUGAAGGCCUUCGGGUCGUAAAGUUCUGUUGUUAGGGAAGAACAAGUACCAGAGUAACUGCUGGUACCUUGACGGUACCUAACCAGAAAGCCACGGCUAACUACGUGCCAGCAGCCGCGGUAAUACGUAGGUGGCAAGCGUUGUCCGGAAUUAUUGGGCGUAAAGCGCGCGCAGGUGGUUUCUUAAGUCUGAUGUGAAAGCCCACGGCUCAACCGUGGAGGGUCAUUGGAAACUGGGGAACUUGAGUGCAGAAGAGGAAAGUGGAAUUCCAAGUGUAGCGGUGAAAUGCGUAGAGAUUUGGAGGAACACCAGUGGCGAAGGCGACUUUCUGGUCUGUAACUGACACUGAGGCGCGAAAGCGUGGGGGAGCGAACAGGAUUAGAUACCCUGGUAGUCCACGACGUAAACGAUGAGUGCUAAGUGUUAGAGGGUUUCCGCCCUUUAGUGCUGCAGCUAACGCAUUAAGCACUCCGCCUGGGGAGUACGGUCGCCACGACUGAAACUCAAAGGAAUUGACGGGGGGCCCGCACAAGCGGUUGGAGCAUGUGGAUUUAACUUCGUGGCACGCGUAAGAAGCCUUACCAGGUCUUGACAUCCCACUGCCCGUAUAGAGAUAUACCUUUCCCUUCAAGA